rnacentral:rRNA from 1 species
CCUACGGGUGGCAGCAGUAAGGAAUCUUCCACAAUGGGCGAAAGCCUGAUGGAGCAACGCCGCGUGGGUGAAGAAGGUCUUCGGAGCGUAAAACCCUGUUGUUAGAGGAGAAAGUGCGUGAGAGUAACUGUUCACGUUUCGACGGUAUCUAACCAGAAAGCCACGGCUAACUACGUGCCAGCAGCCGCGGCAAUACGUAGGUGGCAAUCGUUAUCCGGCUUUUUUGGGCGUAAAGGGAACUGAGGCGGUAUUUUAAGUCUGAUGUGAAAGCCUUCGGCUUAACCGGAGUAUUGCAUUUGAAACUGGGAGACUUGAGUGCAGAAGAGGAGGGUGGAAUGCCAUGUGUAGCGGUGAAAUGCGUAGAUAUAUGGAAGAACACCAGUGGCGAAAGCGGCUCUCUGGUCUGUAACUGACGCUGAGGUUCGAAAGCGUGGGUAGCAAACAGGAUUAGAUACCCGGGUAGUC